CUUCAUGUGGUCCUCUCUGGUGAAUGAAGAAUUUUGGAAAUAUGGUCUUGCUACUGACCUGGCCACUUUUAAACGUGCAUCCUGUUUAUGGGUGCUGUAUCUCUGAACUUUUGCUCUGGCCUUUGUUCAGCUCAUGCUCCAGGGGACAGUGGCAGGGUAAGAUGUGAUCGGAGUGCACCUGUGGCUGUCCAAACAAUGUGAAGGGAAGCUGAAGUGUUUCCCUCUCCCUGCCUCCCAUCUGUAUUCUGGACCAAAUGAUGCAGCAUCAUUCUAGAAACUGCCAGCAAUCCGCCCCUGCCUUUCUUUGCUCGGAGACCCACGCAGCCCGCAGCCGUACGUGAUGCAGAGAGCAGUCCUUCGUGGUGCUUACCCAGGAUGGUGUCACAGAAAUGCGUCUGAGUAAUGCAGAUGGGCUGCUGAACGGAUUGAACUGUAGCCCCCGAAGUGAUGCUUGGAGGUCCCUUGGGUCUGCAAGCCCUCAUACACCUGGCAGGUCAGCAGCCCCAUCCAACAGACCCUCCUCUGUACACAAGAAAUGUGUACAUGGUCAUGGAGAAUGUAAUCUCCUGCUGCAGGCCCAGAGCAUGACCUGGUACAUAAGGUGUGUGGUAGCUACAGUGCUCCUCUGAGUGCCACCAUUUCUAGAAGCAGGUGGGAGUAACCUUGUAAAUGAUUCUGAUUAACACAGAUGGCUGUCUCUCUACUACUCCAGCCCUCUCAGCAGAUGGAGUGGGCUUGGCGCUGCAGUGUUAGGAGCUGCAGACAACGUGUAUGCUUGGUUGAAGCACAGACUGAGUCACUCGCAUUUAUGGUGUUCUUCCUGUUGAAAAGAUUAAUGUGGAGAUGAAAAAUAAAGUGAAAAAAAAAUUGCUUUGCUGCAGAAGUAACUAUGUCUCCUAGUAAGGAGCUAUAAAAAGCAAUACCGUAGAGAUUGAUUUAUGAAGAACAAAAACAGAAGGGAUUCUGCAGAACACAGUUAAAUGAUUACAACUGCUAGGCCAUGAGGAAGGCCAGGUGCUGUUUACAGUGGGACACAGGGCAUAGCUGAAUUCAGGGGAAUGAAAAUGAGUGUGCAGGAUGCUGGCUGAACAUCCCAGAAAUGUUCUGGGUAGUGUGAGCUUUCUUCUGCUUCCCAAAGGGAGUGGAAGACAGCCCCAGCACUCUGGAUAAAUUGGUUCUGUAUUGAACAAAACAGGGCUAAAGUUUGUCUUAGAACUUCAUGGCUGCACGGGGUUGUAGGAAGGGGCUCAAUACAAGCUAUUCUGACCUCACAUCUGGCUGUGCGAAGACAAGUACUUGCUUCUCUGCCUCAGAGAAGGUGUGUGAAGAGCAGCAGGUUCUGAAGAGCUACAAUUCCUUGUCCUAAAGCAUCUGUCUGUGUUUCUGCUUCAGAUGAAAUCGGAGAAUUGCAUGAACCCUUCCAGCUCUUUAGUGAAUCUUAUUUUUCUUUCCUUAUAGACUGAGCCAGUACAGGCUUGUAUAAAUUGAAGUCUUUCUCAAUUCCUGGAAACUUCUGAGAGGAAACUUCUGGGAUCAGAUGAUCAGGCUUUUUUUCUGGUGACAGGUUAGUUCAGGGAAUUGGAAGGGAAAGCAUGUGACACAUUUUGGGAAUAAAUUCUUGGCAUCUAGAGUAUGUGCAUACUCCUGUCUCUGAGAUGGCAAGGACUGUAUUCAGUUAGUUCAACCACUGUGUAGGAAAUCCCUCAGUCCUUAAUUUCCUUGGAAGGACUUCAGCUCUGUUCCUUCCUCAACAUAAUCAGUGCAGUCAUAUUGAUUCACUGAAUAAAAUAGGCCUUGAAUAUCAGAUAAUUUACCACCCAGAUAGAAAUCAGCUGCAGUGCCAAUUAAGUCAAAGUCAGUCUGAAAGCUGUAGUAAAGGAGAACGAGACCCAACCACUUAACAGUGAAGCAUUUUUGACUUUUGAAGUAUUUUUUUCUUCCUGGGAACCAUCAUGGAGCAUUACUUGAUAGGUCAAAAAACAGCAACAAAAUGCUGAAAAGUACAAUGAUAAAAACUUCAGAAAGGGAUGUACAACCCCACUGAACAGAGGGCAAUCUUAGUCUAAUUCAAGCACCUCUUCCAAGUUUUUUCCCCUCACCACCCACCCUUCCACUGUAUCUUGUAUCCCAGUUCGUGUAACGCUGCCUUGACAGUUUGACUUCUGAGAGUUGACUUAAAUUAAUGGUCUAGGUGAACAACCCAGACACAUUUCCAGGUAUCUUUGAGUUCCUAAUUGUUUCCUGCACACCAUUCGCAUUCAGCGUCCUUGCAGAGAUCCACAGCUAGGUAAUGCAUUUUCUGAUCUCUUACUGUUUUAGAACAUGUUGAUUUGGGGGGAGCGGCAAAGCCCAUGAGAAUUACUGAAUUCUGCUUGUGUGGGCACAAAAGUGAACCACAUGUUCUGUACGUGUCCUGGAUGGGCCAAUACAUGUUCUUUAGAAACAGGUUUAAAAAUCUCUUUACUUAAUGACUCAGGUUGGAUCAGUGAUAAUACUUCUUCUGUGCCCUGUGUGGAGAGCAGUUCUUGUCUAACUGAGAACAAAAUACAAUUUUUAUCUUUAUUGGUGUAACAACACGUACUGUGCUUCAUCAGACAGUCAUCUCUAACCUUUUGUUGGCUUUUACAAAUUUACUGUACUGCACCAUUGUCACAGCCCAUACCGACUGGUUUUCUGUUUUGUUCUUUUCAUCUUCCCAGAAUUUCUAACAUGUAGUUUCCUCUGAUUUCUGCCACAUCAUCUGGAUUUGGAGCCUGACUAAAUGCCACAAUUUUAGCCUGUGGAGGACUUUCAAUAUCAUAUUGCUGAAUGGGGCUUUUUUCCCCUCCAUUGUUCUGUAAAAUGUUCCUCUAGGUCACUUACUGCUUUUCCAGAAGAUGCUUACACUUGAUAAGGGAAUAAGGGAAUCAUACUGGUAACAAGUCCAGGGACUGACUGCCCUAUGCCUCUUGAUAAAUUGGUUUAGAUUUUUUUUGGAGAAACGUUUCCAGCGGACUCUGAGGACUUUUUAAUUUUCCUGUC